rnacentral:rRNA from 1 species
GACGAACCGUGCGAACGUUAUUCGGAAUCACUGGGCUUAAAGCGCGUGUAGGCGGGUCAGUACGUCCGUCGCUGAAAUCCCCCGGCUCAACCGGGGAACUGGCGUGGAUACGGCUGACCUGGAGGGGCGUAGGGGGACCUGGAACUUCCGGUGGAGCGGUGAAAUGCGUUGAGAUCGGAAGGAACGCCCGUGGCGAAAGCGAGGUCCUGGACGCCUACUGACGCUGAGACGCGAAAGCCAGGGGAGCGAACGGG